ensembl:lncRNA
GGUCUUGGGUUUGGGCACUGAGGUACCUGCAGACCCAGAGCAGCAAUACUUGACGUUUCCUACCUCAUCUUUAUUUGACCUGGCGUGAUUUUCGCAGCACCAGGGCAUUGCCCUGCACUGAGGAGGAGCAGGAAGGGAGGCUGUGUGGAGCAGCCGCUCACUGCUGCCAGCCCCAGCUGCUUGGCACGGCCAGCACAGCCGCCUGCAGGUGCAGCUGCUCCGUGUUGCAGAGGGCAUUGACAGACCUCUGAAAGAGUCCGUGCCCCGGGGGAUCGCGUGGGAUGCGCUGCUUCUGUGGGCUACUCAUUUUGAAGAACUUCAUAGCACAUAGAGAUUUGACAGAAAAACAACGUGGAUGGAACGGCUGGUGAUUUUCCCAAGGAAAGAUGACCCUAAUCUUCCAGAAGGACAGAAAAACAAGACCAGCCAGAGUUUUAUCCAUUACUGCAUCAGAGAUGACUGGCUUGAAUUUGGUCAAAGGAUUAUGGGCUCAGUGCACCAGAAGCACUGAACUGGGGCAGCAGAGGAAGGAAAGGAAAAGCAGUGGCUGCUGUCUAAGGUGAAGACGAAAAUUAUUUUCAGUGAAUACGUUAAGCCUGAGAAAAGUUAGGUUUAUGUUUCAUUUUUGUCCCUUAAGGAAAGAUUUAGAUCAGUAUUGU